rnacentral:rRNA from 1 species
UACGGAGGGUGCAAGCGUUAUCCGGAUUCACUGGGCUUAAAGGGUGCGUAGGCGGCCUGAUAAGUCAGCGGUGACAGCUUCCAGCUUAACUGGGAAACUGCCAUUGAAACUAUCAGGCUUGAGUACAAUUGAAGUGGGCGGAAUACAUCAUGUAGCGGUGAAAUGCUUAGAUAUGAUGUAGAACACCGAUUGCGAAGGCAGCUCACUAAAUUGCAACUGACGCUGAGGCACGAAAGCGUGGGUAGCGAACAGG